rnacentral:rRNA from 1 species
UACAGAGGUGGCAAGCGUUGUUCGGAAUUACUGGGCGUAAAGGGCGCGUAGGCGGCUUGGCAAGUGGAUGGUGAAAUCCCUCGGCUUAACCGAGGAACUGCCAUCCAGACUGCUUUGCUUGAGGCCGGGAGAGGUGAGUGGAAUUCCCAGUGUAGCGGUGAAAUGCGUAGAUAUCAAGAGGAACACCUGCGGCGAAGGCGGGUUGCUGGGCCGACACUGACGCUGAGGCGCGAAAGCUAGGGGAGCGAACAGG